GUGCCAGCAGCCGCGGUAAAACCAGCACCUCAAGUGGUCAGGAUGAUUAUUGGGCCUAAAGCAUCCGUAGCCGGCUCUGUAAGUUUUCGGUUAAAUCUGUACGCUCAACGUACAGGCUGCCGGGAAUACUGCAGAGCUAGGGAGUGGGAGAGGUAGACGGUACUCGGGAGGAAGGGGUAAAAUCCUUUGAUCUCUCGAUGACCACCUGUGGCGAAGGCGGUCUACCAGAACACGUUCGACGGUGAGGGAUGAAAGCUGGGGGAGCAAACCGGAUUAGAUACCCGGGUAGUCCCAGCUGUAAACUAUGCAAACUCAGUGAUGCAUUGGCUUGUGGCCAAUGCAGUGUUGCAGGGAAGCCGUUAAGUUUGCCGCCUGGGAAGUACGUACGCAAGUAUGAAACUUAAAGGAAUUGGCGGGGGAGCACCACAAGGGGUGAAGCCUGCGGUUCAAUUGGAGUCAACGCCAGAAAUCUUACCCGGAGAGACAGCAGAAUGAAGGUCAAGCUGAAGACUUUACCAGACAAGCUGAGAGGUGGUGCAUGGCCGUCGCCAGCUCGUGCCGUGAGAUGUCCUGUUAAGUCAGGUAACGAGCGAGAUCCCUGCCUCUAGUUGCCACCAUUAUUCUCAGGAAUAGUGGGGCGAAUUAGCGGGACCGCCGCAGUUAAUGCGGAGGAAGGAAGGGGCCACGGCAGGUCAGUAUGCCCCGAAACUCUGGGGCCACACGCGGGCUGCAAUGGUAAUGACAAUGGGUUCCGAAUCCGAGAGGAGGAGGUAAUCCCCAAACAUUACCACAGUUAUGACUGAGGGCUGCAACUCGCCCUCACGAAUAUGGAAUCCCUAGUAACUGCGUGUCAUUAUCGCGCGGUGAAUACGUCCCUGCUCCUUGCACACACCGCCCGUC
rnacentral:rRNA from 1 species